AAAAAGUCCAGCUGCCUUUUGGAAAAGCAGCUCUGGGGCAGAGGCCAGGCUCUGGGGGGGGGGAGCCCUGGACCACCUUGCCCGCCAGCCUGCCUUCUCCUUGGUCCCCCAGCUUCCCGAGGAAGCCCAUCAAGGCUAAGAGCCCUCCAUCCCCACAACCGCCCCGUGUUUUGCCUGUCCCGGUUUUGCAGGAUCCAAUUCCUGGGGGUCUGGAGGAGAAAAGCUCUGGAGAAGCCGCCUGGGUGGGUGGGGAAGCUUUGCCCCAGAUCCUUCCCCCAAUCCGGGGCCCGUUUCUGGCCGACUGUGUGACAUGGGCCACCCACCUGCUUGGCUCGCAAGAGAGGAAGCCCGUUCACAGAUGGGCCGUUGCAGGAGCCAUCAUUACACUCAGUGGAGCUUCCACAAUCCAGCAAGGUCUAUCUUAAGGACCGCUGCAGCCUCCCUGGGGUCACGUGAUCAGAGUCCAGACGCCUGGCACCUGGUUCAUAUUUACGAUGGUCGCAGCUUCCAGGGGGAUCACGGGACCCCCUCUGGUGACCUGACGAGCAAAGCCAACGGGGAAGCCGAUUCACUUUAACAACUGCGGCAAGAAAGAUCGUGAAAUGGACCAAAGCUCACUUAGCAGCCGUCUCGCUUAGCAAUAGAAAAUUUGGGCUCCAUUGUGGUCGUAAGUCAAGGACUGACUGUGGUAGCCAAAGAUUUGGAGGUGCUUCACCUCACUACAUGCCAGGUGGACAGAACCCACUAAGGGCCACGUAUUGGCUACUGUGAGUCCAUCUGGUGGUGGGACCAUCCACACCACAUUUUUCCACUGCAUCAGGAAGGAGGCUAUGGGAGACCCAUUCUCCACAGCUGACCGUGUCAACUGCUGACCAUCCUCCUCCCAAGAGCCUUUCUGAAAGUCCCUGAGAAAAAUACCCCCCCACCUGAGACCAGAUCCACAGGUAAGACUCCUGUGGGGCCCUGGGAGGGCCAAGGGCCACACCUUCUCCCCAGCCACCAUUGUCAGAGCAGACGUUGGCAGGAAGGAGAAACCAACAUCACACAGAAGG